UCCUUAUUAUAUGAUCGUGAAUAUUUUGGUUUGAUGUACCAAUAACCGAGGAAAUCGUUUCACGAUCGUUUGUACGUGCUAUCCACGUUUGUUCGCCCAUGUUUAUUUCGUUGACGUUUCUGUUUGCUGACAUUUGUUUGUUUGAUGAAUUUAUAUAUACGUGAAACAGAAUUAUAAUAGUGCCCGCUUUAGCAUUCGCAGUUUGAACUGGGCAAAUGACUUGUGCGGAUUCAACUUGAGCGAAAGAAAGAGAAUAAAAGAAUAAAGUAAACAAAGUAUCGGUGUCAAAUUUCGUUCACCAGUUUACCUCAUUUAGCACAUUUUACUUUGUUUACUUCGAGGUUCUAUUUCUAAGAAUUGAUGUCCAAAACGAUGGAAGUUAGCAAAGCAAAUAUAAGAUUAAAAAUCCCUUUUGCUGAUUCGAGG